rnacentral:rRNA from 1 species
GGGGAAUAUUGCGCAAUGGGCGAAAGCCUGACGCAGCGACGCCGCGUGGGGGAGGAAGGCCCCAGGGUUGUAAACCCCUGUCAGGUGGGACGAACCCCGGUACGUCGAACAGGCGUACCGACUGACGGUACCACCAGAGGAAGCUCCGGCUAACUCCGUCCCAGCAGCCGCGGUAAUACGGAGGGGGCUAGCGUUGUUCGGAAUUACUGGGCGUAAAGGGCGUGUAGGCGGCGGAACAAGUCAGGCGUGAAAGCCCCGGGCUCAACCUGGGAGGUGCGCUUGAUACUGUUUUGCUAGAGUCCGGGAGAGGCGAGUGGAAUAUCCAGUGUAGAGGUGAAAUUCGUAGAUAUUGGAUGGAACACCAGUGGCGAAGGCGGCUCGCUGGACCGGAACUGACGCUGAGGCGCGAAAGCGUGGGGAGCAA